rnacentral:rRNA from 1 species
UGGGGAAUAUUGCACAAUGGGCGCAAGCCUGAUGCAGCCAUGCCGCGUGUGUGAAGAAGGCCUUCGGGUUGUAAAGCACUUUCAGCGAGGAGGAAGGGUAGUGUGUUAAUAGCACAUUGCAUUGACGUUACUCGCAGAAGAAGCACCGGCUAACUCCGUGCCAGCAGCCGCGGUAAUACGGAGGGUGCAAGCGUUAAUCGGAAUUACUGGGCGUAAAGCGCACGCAGGCGGUUUGUUAAGUCAGAUGUGAAAUCCCCGCGCUUAACGUGGGAACUGCAUUUGAAACUGGCAAGCUAGAGUCUUGUAGAGGGGGGUAGAAUUCCAGGUGUAGCGGUGAAAUGCGUAGAGAUCUGGAGGAAUACCGGUGGCGAAGGCGGCCCCCUGGACAAAGACUGACGCUCAGGUGCGAAAGCGUG